ACAGAGAAGCUCAAAAUGAGUUCGCAAAAUAAGCCUUCGCUAUAUUGAACACGCCUCUCUCCAGUUCACUUCUUCUCUGCGACUCCGUCUUUGUAACUCCACCUCUCCUGCGUUCAACAUCGACUCAUCUUCUUCGAAUCUUGACGCAGGGACAUAUAUAUACAUGAUGUUAAUUGGCCCCUCAGUGUCACCGGUUCUCUAAUCGGUGUCUCUGAUAGUGUGGGUGAUGGUGGGCUCAUUAUCGCAUAACACAUACAAGUUGUGGGGCAUUGGCAAUGGGCAAUGGGCAAUGGGCAAUGGGCAUUGGAAUGUGUGGGUGUUGGUUUCAUUUCUGUUGGGAGGAAGGAAGAAGCAAACUCAGCAGAGCAGAUCAAAUUGCAGCACUAAAGCUCAUUUUGGAGAAGCCACAAAACAUCUCUAUAUUCAUGUCUUUGGAUGAUGAUAUCAAGAAAGUGUUUGUUGAGCAGUUGCUUAGUGACAAUGCUUGAGGAAAUGGCCUAGCUAAGUUUGAUGCAUCUAUCUUUUUGGAAACACCACAAAUGAUGCAUUGAUAAGAUUGGCUUCAUUUUGGAAACACCACAAAUUGUAUAACAUUUUGCUAGCAUUAAAGCCAUAUGGUUCAUGGUUGUGGGGUUUAUUAGUUUCAUUUUGAAAUUGUGGAUGUUUAUUUGUAUGUAUUAAUGGUAGAAUUGUGUGUAGCGAACUAAACCUCUAAUUUCUGAGUCAUGUAGAUGACUUUGGCAUAUAUGAAAAUUUCUAACUUUUGCACA